CCUCAUGCGUUUUAGGUCAAUUGGGAUUAUCAAAAUUAUUUAUAUUUGCCAAAUGCCGGAAUAAUGAGAGAGAGAGUUUUUUUUAAGGCAUUUUUAUUACUUUCUGCAAAGUCAAAAGUUUACAUACACAAGGAUUACUAUGCCUUUAAACAAUUUGGGACAGCCCAUAUGAUGAUGUCAUGUCUUUGGAAGCUUAGAGACACACCUGUGGCUGUAUUUUAAUGCACACCAGAAACACACUGCUCCUGUGUGUAACAUCAUGGGAAAGUCUAAAGAAAUCAGCCAAGAUAUCAGGAAGAGCAUUGCGGACUUGCACAAGUCUGGAACAUUCUUGGGUGCAAUUUCCAGAUACGUGCAGGCGCCUCAUUCAUCGGUACAAACAACUAUACACAAGUAUAAACAAGAUGGAAAUCGCUCAGGAAGGAGACGGGUUCUGUGUCUUAAAGAUGAACGUCCUUUGGUCUGACAUGUGCAUAUCAACCCAAGAACAAAAGCAAAAGACCUUGUGAAGAUGCUGGUGGCAGAUGAUAUUAACCAUAAAGACGUGACAUCAACUAUCUACUAUAUACCAUCAAAGGAUAAUGGGAUGCAUAUGAAUGAAGUUCCCCACGCACUAGGAGUUAAUAGCGGACAAACAAGAUACCUGUGAUACUAUCAAUGAAUAUCGCCAACAACACUUUGCCAAUAUUAGCAAUUUGAUGAACCCGCACCUCUUUGUUGUCCUAU